CGUGAGCGGCGGACGGGUGAGUAACGCGUGGGUAACCUGCUCAUACAGGGGAGUAACAGUUGGAAACGGCUGCUAAUACCGCAUAAGCGCACAGUACCGCAUGGUACGGUGUGAAAAACUCCGGUGGUAUGAGAUGGACCCGCGUCUGAUUAGGUAAUUGGUGGGGUAACGGCCUACCAAGCCGACGAUCAGUAGCCGACCUGAGAGGGUGACCGGCCACAUUGGGACUGAGACACGGCCCAA
rnacentral:rRNA from 1 species